rnacentral:misc_RNA from 1 species
GAUGAAGAACGUAGCGAAAUGCGAUAAGUAAUGUGAAUUGCAGAAUUCAGUGAAUCAUCGAAUCUUUGAACGCACAUUGCGCCCAUUAGUAUUCUAUUGGGCAUGCCUGUUCGAGCGUCAUUUUGACCACUUAAGCCUGGCUUAGUGUUGGGAAUCUACUUUUGUAGUUCCUUAAAUCUAGUGGCGGAGCCGCAGUGGCCUCUGAGCGUAGUAAUUUUUUCUCGCUUUGGAAGGUUCUGUAGUUUUUGCCAUAAAACCCCCAAUUUUUUAAGGUUGACCUCGGAUCAGGUAGGAAUACCCGCUGAACUUAAGCAUAUCAAUAAGCGGAGGA